rnacentral:rRNA from 1 species
AUUGAACGCUGGCGGCAGGCCUAACACAUGCAAGUCGAACGGUAACAGAAAGCAGCUUGCUGCUUUGCUGACGAGUGGCGGACGGGUGAGUAAUGUCUGGGAAACUGCCUGAUGGAGGGGGAUAACUACUGGAAACGGUAGCUAAUACCGCAUAACGUCGCAAGACCAAAGAGGGGGACCUUCGGGCCUCUUGCCAUCGGAUGUGCCUAGAUGGGAUUAGCUAGUAGGUGGGGUAACGGCUCACCUAGGCGACGAUCCCUAGCUGGUCUGAGAGGAUGACCAGCCACACUGGAACUGAGACACGGUCCAGACUCCUGCGGGAGGCAGCAGUGGGGAAUAUUGCACAAUGGGCGCAAGACUGAUGCAGCCAUGCCGAGUGUAUGAAGAAGGCCUUCGGGUUGUAAAGUACUUUCAGCGGGGAGGAAGGGAGUAAAGUUAAUACCUUUGCUCAUUGACGUUACCCGCAGAAGAAGCACCGGCUAACUCCGUG